AACGAACGCUGGCGGCAGGCCUAACACAUGCAAGUCGAGCGGACAUCUUCGGAUGUUAGCGGCGGACGGGUGAGUAACGCGUGGGAAUAUGCCCUUUGGUACGGAAUAGCCUCGGGAAACUGGGAGUAAUACCGUAUGUGCCCUUCGGGGGAAAGAUUUAUCGCCAAAGGAUUAGCCCGCGUUGGAUUAGGUAGUUGGUGGGGUAAUGGCCUACCAAGCCGACGAUCCAUAGCUGGUUUGAGAGGAUGAUCAGCCACACUGGGACUGAGACACGGCCCAGACUCCUACGGGAGGCAGCAGUGGGGAAUCUUAGACAAUGGGCGCAAGCCUGAUCUAGCCAUGCCGCGUGAUCGAUGAAGGCCUUAGGGUUGUAAAGAUCUUUCAGCUGGGAAGAUAAUGACGGUAUCAGCAGAAGAAGCCCCGGCUAACUCCGUGCCAGCAGCUGCGGUAAUACGGAGGGGGCUAGCGUUGUUCGGAAUUACUGGGCGUAAAGCGCACGUAGGCGGAUUGGAAAGUUGGGGGUGAAAUCCCAGGGCUCAACCCUGGAACUGCCUCCAAAACUCCCAGUCUUGAGUUUCGAGAGAGGUGAGUGGAAUUCCGAGUGUAGAGGUGAAAUUCG
rnacentral:rRNA from 1 species